rnacentral:rRNA from 1 species
CCAGUCGAGAAACCUCCACAAUGUGGGAAACCACGAUGGGGGAACUCCAAGUGCCUAGACUUUUGUCUAGGCUGUUCUCGAGCCUAAAAAGCUCGAGAAGUAAGGGCCGGGUAAGACGGGUGCCAGCCGCCGCGGUAAUACCCGCGGCCCGAGUGGUGCUCAUUAUUAUUGAGCCUAAAGCGUCCGUAGCUGGCCAGGCGAAUCUCCGGGUAAAUCGGGCGGCCCAACCGUCCGAAUUCCGGAGACACUGCCUGGCUUGGGAUCGGGAGAGGGUGAAGGUACUCCCGGGGUAGGGGUAAAAUCCUGUAAUCCUGGGGGGACCACCAGUGGCGAAGGCGUUCACCUAGAACGAAUCCGACAGUGAGGGACGAAGCCCUAGGGCGCAAACGGGAUUAGAUACCCCCGUAGUCC